GCCAGCUGGGCGGGACCUAUAAAGGCACACAGGACAGCUCCGGCAGGGGAGUUUUCACCGACAGUCUCGGAGGGGAUUGCACCCGCGCCGCACCCCGUUACACAGGGAAAACCCAGCCUGGAGGUCACGCAGCACAUCGUUCUUUAUCGGCUGGCCUGUUACUCCGCCUUCAACUCGAACCCAGAGAGACCGUGCAGUAGCCAUUCUCCUGGCUUGAACACUCUCC